CCCAGUACCACUGAGGAUAACUCUGUGUGUGUGUGUGUGUAUUUACGUAUGUGCAUGUGCACACAUGACUUCACCUGGUUUGGCUUGCUCACAAGAGUGCAGUCUCCUCUGACUCUUUCCUCACUGCAGGAUUUUAAGUCAAUGGUGACUAUACAGAACCUUCUGAUAUGGAGGAUUUUCUGUUGUUCGAUUGAGUCUGUGUGCUGAAUAAACAUAUCAUGCGGUUACCUACAAAAUCCAUUCUGGACACCAAAUACAAAUCACAGGUGUUUUUCUACAAGUCCAUUGUGAACAAAAUUAAGGACCUAUGCUAUGACCUUUCCCUGAGAGAGAAGGUGUGGCUCAGAGAAAACCAGCAUUAUCAUAAAGAAAGCAAUCCCCAAGAGUUAUACUUUAUUGAAGCAUCCAUCUCAGGAAAGAACCAAAGAUUAGGAUUGAGUCUUGAUGUGGGAGACUAAGAGGGUGCAAAGUCACGUAUAGAGAGCAUAGAGAAUAUGUGACUGAUCGUCAGUGAUUUGGCCAGUGCUUCGUAACAAUGAACUUUAAUGCUCCAUUCCGCCUGAAUGUUAUAAACGUGGCUGAUGGAAAACCUAAUUGGGAAACACGCUAAACCGACUCUGUAGAAAGCAUGACUUUUGAUUGAAUUGAGCAGCAACAAAAACAACAAUGACAACAACUCUUGUCAGAGACCAAAGUGCCAGAAACUAAGGAUGAAAAGAUCACCCCUCCUCCCUAGUCUUCUUCUGUGUCCCUGGGGUUUCUUUGGCAGGAAUGUUUUAUAUAUUACCUCAGGAGACCUGUAGCUGUGAGUAGCAGUUUUUUCCUGGAAACAGAGGCAGAAGGUUCCUGCUUCCUUUAUGGCAGGCUCAUGUUCUCACUCAGGGAAUCAAGCAUUUCUUCAUACAAGUGGAAGCACAUGGUCUUUCCUUUCCUGGUUCAGCAGUUCCCACUCCCAGCAUCAGGCCAAGUCAAGACAAGUAGGGCUGUGACCUGGAGGAGUCUCCGUGAGCCCCACGAGAGAGUUUGGAGUGUCUCUCAGACAACAAAACUUUGAUGGAUUUUGACUUCAGCCAUGACUCUUUUUCCUGGCAAACUACAUAUUGGAUGACCAAAGAAGAUGCUCUCUGCAGAGUGUAAUCCAGUCACCAAAGCCAGAGGUUGAGGGGAAGUUGCCAUUUUCCCUUGUUGUUUACCUGUCAAGGGUCCGUUGCCUUGAAUCUUUCAGUUAUUGGUAUCCUGGCUUAGUACCUCUGCCCUGGUAUUUGAGUGUGUAUAUCAGCAGUGCUCAUGGCACUGCUUUGAAGUUUGUGGUCCUGCCACUCUAACUGUAUGACUUCGGGCCUUCAGUUAAUCUAAGUUUCAAAUUUCCUCUGUAUGAUGGGAGUAGUUAUGCCUGUCCUGCUUGCUUGAUCAGAUACAACCCCAAUUUUGUGAAUCUGAUAACUUAGAGUCCCAAGCUGGGUAGGAAGCUUAUGUGCUAACCCACAGAGCCUUUGUCUGCUUGAAACAGCCACCCCUCACUGGCAUCCUGGAUAAAUGAUCCUCCAGCUUCAAACUGAGCUCUGGCUGGGGAUCUGCCCACCCAGAAGCUCUGCUAGAAAAUUCUUCCAUGGGCUGAGCUGAAAUUUGAACCCUCCAGUAACUUUUACCUGCUGGUUUCUAUUUUCUAUUUCACCUGGACUCACCGAUACAUUUUUAUCACAAAAGUAUUCUGUAUAUUGAAGACUACUGUAAAAAGUCCCACCAUAGUUUGUGUGUGUGUGUGUGUGUUUUAAUUAGUUAUCAAGUCAUCUCUUCAACUCCUUUGCUUUGCCUUAGGGGAUUCUGAUCUAGGUUGACCGCAUAGAACAGGAUAUGGUGCAGUGUUCUGAACAUUAUCAGGGAUCCUUGUGGCAUCAGUUAUAAAACUUUCCCUGGAGUUCUCUGGGGGAAGGUGUUAUUAAUUAUUAUUAAUGGCAGAUGCCACCACCCAUAGUGAGAAUGCACAAAUCCUAGAGCCAUAAUUGGAAACACAUGCUUCUUAACAGGUUUUAAAUUAUUCUAUUUUACUUGUAAAAAAAAAAGUAUUUCCUCUUAUACCACCUUGCAUUAUUUUUCAUUCUGAAGAGUAAUAGAGAUAUAUGAAAUUUUGGUAAAAAAAAAAAAAGAAAGAAAGAGAGACCUAGAG